GCUGGACACUGUGGCGCACGCCUAUAGUCACAAGUACUCAGGAGGCUGAGGUGGGAGGAUCACUUGGGUCCAGCAGUUUUGGGUUACAGGGUGCUAUGCUGAUAGUGUCCACACUACAUUUGGCCACUGGGUAGUGACCUCCCAAAUCAGGAGACCACCAGGUUGCUUGAGGAGGGGUGAAUCAGCCCAGGUCAGAUAUGGAGCAGUUCAAUACUGCCGUGUUGAUCAGUAGUGGGAUUGCACCUGUGAAUAGCCACUGCCCUCCAGACUGGGCAACGUAGUGAGGCAACAU
rnacentral:SRP_RNA from 1 species